UACGUAGGGUGCAAGCGUUAAUCGGAAUUACUGGGCGUAAAGCGUGCGCAGGCGGCUUUGCAAGACAGAUGUGAAAUCCCCGGGCUCAACCUGGGAACUGCAUUUGUGACUGCAUGGCUAGAGUGCGGCAGAGGGGGAUGGAAUUCCACGUGUAGCAGUGAAAUGCGUAGAGAUGUGGAGGAACACCGAUGGCGAAGGCAGCCCCCUGGGCUGAGAUUGACGGCUCAGGCACGAAAGCGUGGGGAGCAAACAGGG
rnacentral:rRNA from 1 species